rfam:Asian citrus Psyllid, Diaphorina citri - Florida Strain, whole genome shotgun sequence.
GCCGGUGGGGCGACAGCACGUUGAAUACACUAGUUCUCGACAAAUCACUGAAGUUAAGAAACGUUGCUCGUGGUUAGUAUCUGGAUGGGCGACCAUCUGGGCAAUCGCGUUCUGCUGGCU